AUUGUACGGCGAACUGCGAAUGGCUCAUUAAAUCAGUUAUCGUUUAUUUGAUAGUACCUUUCCUACAAGGAUAACCGUGGUAAUUCUAGGGCUAAAACUUGCUAAAAAUCCCGACUUCGGAAGGGAUGCAUUUAUUAGAUACAGAACCAAUGCCCUUCGGGGCUUCUUGGUGAAUCAUGAUAACUCCGCGGAUCGCAUGGCCUUGCGCCGGCGAUGGUUCAUUCAAAUUUCUGCCCUAUCAACUUUCGACGGCUGGGUAUUGGCCAGCCGUGGUGACAACGGGUAACGGAGGGUUAGGGCUCGACCCCGGAGAAGGAGCCUGAGAAACGGCUACUACAUCCAAGGAAGGCAGCAGGCGCGCAAAUUACCCAAUCCCGACUCGGGGAGGUAGUGACAAUAAAUACUGAUCCAGGGCUCUUUUGGGUCUUGGAAUUGGAAUGAGUACAAUUUAAAUCCCUUAACGAGGAACAAUUGGAGGGCAAGUCUGGUGCCAGCAGCCGCGGUAAUUCCAGCUCCAAUAGCGUAUAUUAAAGUUGUUGAGGUUAAAAAGCUCGUAGUUGAACCUUGGGCCUGGCUGGCCGGUCCGCCUCACCGCGUGCACUGGUCCGGCCGGGCCUUUCCCUCUGGGGAACCGCAUGCCCUUUACUGGGUGUGUCGGGGAACCAGGACUUUUACUCUGAACAAAUCAGAUCGCUCAAAGAAGGCUCUCGCUCGAAUGCUCUAGCAUGGAAUAAUAGAAUAGGACGUGCGGUUCUAUUUUGUUGGUUUCUAGGACCGCCGUAAUGAUUAAUAGGGACAGUCGG
rnacentral:rRNA from 1 species